AUGCUGGAGGUAUCAGAAGUGCGAAUGCUGACGUGAGUAACGACAAAACGGGUGAAAAACCCGUUCGCCGAAAGACCAAGGGUUCCAGUCCAACGUUAAUCGGGGCUGGGUGAGUCGACCCCUAAGGCGAGGCCGAAAGGCGUAGUCGAUGGGAAAAUGGUUAAUAUUCCAUUACUUCUGUGUAAUGCGAUGAGAGGACGGAGAAGGCUAAAUCAGCCUGGCGUUGGUUGUCCAGGUGAAAGGAUGUAGGCAUGUAUCUUAGGCAAAUCCGGGGUACUCUAUGCUGAGAUCUGAUAGCAAGCUGUACUUGUACAGCGAAGUGGUUGAUGCCAUGCUUCCAGGAAAAGUCUCUAAGCUUCAGUUACACAGGAAUCGUACCCGAAACCGACACAGGUGGUCAGGUCGAGUAGACCAAGGCGCUUGAGAGAACUCUGCUGAAGGAACUAGGCAAAAUGGUACCGUAACUUCGGGAGAAGGUACGCUGUUGUUGGUGAUGGAACUCGCUUCCUGAGCUGACGACAGCCGCAGAAACCAGGCCGCUGCAACUGUUUAUUAAAAACAUAGCACUCUGCAAACACGAAAGUGGACGUAUAGGGUGUGAUGCCUGCCCGGUGCUGGAAGGUUAAUUGAUGGGGUUAGCGUAAGCGAAGCUCUUGAUCGAAGCCCCAGUAAACGGCGGCCGUAACUAUAACGGUCCUAAGGUAGCGAAAUUCCUUGUCGGGUAAGUUCCGACCUGCACGAAUGGCAUAAUGAUGGCGGCGCUGUCUCCAGCAGAGGCUCAGUGAAAUCGAAAUCGCUGUGAAGAUGCAGUGUACCCGCGGCUAGACGGAAAGACCCCGUGAACCUUUACUGCAGCUUGACACUGAACUUUGACCUUACUUGUGUAGGAUAGGUGGGAGGCUUUGAAGCUGGAACGCAAGUUCCAGUGGAGCCGUCCUUGAAAUACCACCCUGGUAAUGUUGAGGUUCUAACUCUGUCCCGUGAUCCGGGACGAGGACCGUGUCUGGUGGGUAGUUUGACUGGGGCGGUCUCCUCCUAAAGAGUAACGGAGGAGUACGAAGGUGCGCUCAGCGUGGUCGGAAAUCACGCGUAGAGUAUAAAGGCAAAAGCGCGCUUAACUGCGAGACCCACAAGUCGAGCAGGUACGAAAGUAGGUCUUAGUGAUCCGGUGGUUCUGUAUGGAAGGGCCAUCGCUCAACGGAUAAAAGGUACUCUGGGGAUAACAGGCUGAUACCGCCCAAGAGUUCAUAUCGACGGCGGUGUUUGGCACCUCGAUGUCGGCUCAUCUCAUCCUGGGGCUGAAGCAGGUCCCAAGGGUAUGGCUGUUCGCCAUUUAAAGAGGUACGCGAGCUGGGUUUAGAACGUCGUGAGACAGUUCGGUCCCUAUCUACCGUGGGCGCUGGAAAUUUGAGAGGAUCUGCUCCUAGUACGAGAGGACCAGAGUGGACGAACCUCUGGUGUACCGGUUGUGACGCCAGUCGCAUCGCCGGGUAGCUAUGUUCGGAAGGGAUAACCGCUGAAAGCAUCUAAGCGGGAAGCCUACCUCAAGAUAAGAUUUCCCUAGGACUUUAUGUCCUCUAAAGAGCCGUUCGAGACUAGGACGUUGAUAGGUUGGAUGUGGGGAAGCAUAGUGAUAUGUGAAGCUGACCAAUACUAAUUGCUCGUGAGGCUUGACUAUACAACACCCAAGCAGUUG
rnacentral:rRNA from 1 species